UGGGGAAUUUUGGACAAUGGGCGCAAGCCUGAUCCAGCAAUGCCGCGUGCAGGAUGAAGGCCUUCGGGUUGUAAACUGCUUUUGUACGGAACGAAAAGCCUCUCUCUAAUACAGGGGGUGAUGACGGUACCGUAAGAAUAAGCACCGGCUAACUACGUGCCAGCAGCCGCGGUAAUACGUAGGGUGCAAGCGUUAAUCGGAAUUACUGGGCGUAAAGCGUGCGCAGGCGGUUUUGUAAGACAGUGGUGAAAUCCCCGGGCUCAACCUGGGAACUGCCAUUGUGACUGCAAGGCUGGAGUGCGGCAGAGGGGGAUGGAAUUCAGCGUGUAGCAGUGAAAUGCGUAGAUAUGCGGAGGAACACCGAUGGCGAAGGCAAAUCCCCUGGGCCUGCACUGACGCUCAUGCACGAAAGCGUGGGGAGCAAACAGGAUUAGAUACCCUGGUAGUCCACGCCCUAAAACGAUGUCAACUGGUUGUUGGGGAUUUAUUUCUUCAGUAACGAAGCUAACGCGUGAAGUUGACCGCCUGGGGGA
rnacentral:rRNA from 1 species